rnacentral:rRNA from 1 species
AUUGAACGCUGGCGGCAGGCCUAACACAUGCAAGUCGAGCGGAUGAAGGGAGCUUGCUCCUGGAUUCAGCGGCGGACGGGUGAGUAAUGCCUAGGAAUCUGCCUGGUAGUGGGGGAUAACGUCCGGAAACGGGCGCUAAUACCGCAUACGUCCUGAGGGAGAAAGUGGGGGAUCUUCGGACCUCACGCUAUCAGAUGAGCCUAGGUCGGAUUAGCUAGUUGGUGGGGUAAAGGCCUACCAAGGCGACGAUCCGUAACUGGUCUGAGAGGAUGAUCAGUCACACUGGAACUGAGAAACGGUCCAGACUCCUACGGGAGGCAGCAGUGGGGAAUAUUGGACAAGGGGCGAAAGCCUGAUCCAGCCAUGCCGCGUGUGUGAAGAAGGCCUUCGGAUUGUAAAGCACUUUAAGUUGGGAGGAAGGGCAGUAAGUUAAUACCUUGCUGUUUUGACGUUACCAACAGAAUAAGCACCGGCUAACUUCGUG